rnacentral:lncRNA from 1 species
UUAUCUGUGACCCUGAUUCCAAAUUUAUCUCAAUUUGAAAAAGCAGCAAGUGAUGCACUGUCAGUGUUCAAAGCAUCUUUGGUUUUUCAUGAGCAUUUUACCAGAUCCUGAGAGCAGCUUUUCCAGCUGACAGAUCUUUUUGUGAGCUUUGACUGGGUCGGCACUCACAUUGUGAUGCACGUCUGGAUCUGAACUCUGUGCCCCUGCCCUGUCUCUGCUUGCUGUAAAGAUUCCCAUUUCCAGAAAUGCCUCUUUUCUCAGAGAUCUGCCCAGAGUGAACUGCAAUCUGAAGUCACAAUACUGCCUGAUCAGCGCCAUCCUUUCAGCAUACUGCAUGAGCUGAUUAAAAAAAGACAGGAUGAUGAGCUUAGGCUGGUUUCCUGAGUCAGACAAGACUGCACGUGAACAGUGGCAGCCGCUUGGGAAUGCCUUUGUCAUUCAUCAGAGACUGUUUGAACUUAUGCCAGUGUCUUUGAUGGGGCCUCAUUCAGAAGCCAUCAGGAUCAAUGGAAAAGCUCCAGUUAACAAGGCCUUGAUGCCAGUCCAAAUCUGAUACCAAAGGUCCCUCAAGAAGGAUCUGCUUAUGGUAACACUGAGUAUGGUACUUGAUAGUUCUUGUGCACAGGCACAGUUUUCAUGGGGAAGAAAAUGUAUUUGCUACCAUUCCACUACAGAGAGUCUUGCAUGUGUCCUUGGGUUUUUGGCAGAUGUUGAAAGCUGAUCAGAAGCAGAUGAUGCGAGAGCAACAAUAUGUCCCUGAGCAACAGCAAAGCAGCAGGUGCAGGAGGAGCGGAUGCCAGAUUCCCAUCAGCAGAAGGAGCUGCGUGGAGGACUCUCUGGGACUGCAUGUAAGGUGCACGCUCCACUUUUCCUCUGGCACUGGGGAAUAUUAAUGUCUUCAUCAGGCCAAGCAGAUGAUUUGCAAAUUUAGCUUUCAGUUUUUUAUUAUUCGUAUCAUAAAUACCUAGGGAAUAUAAUGCAAGAAAAUUUCUCAUGGAAAACAACCUGGGUCUUUAAAAAACAUUUUAAAAUAGAAAAUCCAUAAAAAAAUGAUGAAGGAAAUUAGAAACCUUAACUGCCCCAAAAUCUUCCAUACUCGUCCAAGAACAUGAAAACUUUCCACUUAAUUAUUUUUUUAAUAAAAAACAUUAGUUUCAAAAAGUACUGUAUAAA